GGGGUGCUCGAGUGGCGAACGGGUGAGUAACACGUGGGUGAUCUGCCCUGCACUUCGGGAUAAGCUUGGGAAACUGGGUCUAAUACCGGAUAGGAGCCAUCUUUAGUGUGGUGGUUGGAAAGUUUUUCGGUGUAGGAUGAGCUCGCGGCCUAUCAGCUUGUUGGUGGGGUAAUGGCCUACCAAGGCGGCGACGGGUAGCCGGCCUGAGAGGGUGUACGGCCACAUUGGGACUGAGAUACGGCCCAG
rnacentral:rRNA from 1 species